AUACGUAGGUGCCAAGCGUUAUCCGGAUUUACUGGGCGUAAAGGGCGUGUAGGCGGUCUUGCAAGUCAGAAGUGAAAUUCCUGAGCUCAACUCGGGCGCUGCUUCUGAAACUGCAGGACUUGAGUGCUGGAGGGGAUAGCGGAAUUCCUAGUGGAGCGGUAAAAUGCGCAGAUAUUAGGAAGAACACCGGUGGCGUAGGCGACUAUCAGGACAUCAACUGGCGUUGCGGGGCACACGCAUGGGUUGCGAGCAGGAUGAGUCACCCUCGUUGCCCGUGUUGUAACCGGUGGGUGCUAGGCAUAGUGAUCUGCCCCUAUUUCUGUGCCGUACGUACAGCAUUAAGCGACCCGGCUGGGGAGUACGGUCGCAAGGCUGAUACUCAAACGAAUUGACGGGG
rnacentral:rRNA from 1 species